rnacentral:lncRNA from 1 species
GCAUAAAAUUGAUUUCAUUUGUAAGAAAAAAAUGGGUCAAGAAUCAUAUGCAUCCAAAAUAACCAUUUGUAGGAAAGCUCUUCCUGUUCUGGAUUGAAAAAAGAAAAAAAACCCUGCAGUCAUUCGCUAUGGUACUGUGACAGAAGAGUAUUGAAAAAGCUCCAGACAAGCUAAGGAGGAGCUGCAAAGCUAGAUUUUCAGUGGUCCAUGUUUCAAAUUGGAUUUUGCAAACAGUUUUGUACACUGAGUAAACCUGGAGUAGCAAGGGAAAAAAACCGUAGGAGAUGUGCUCCCUCCACGAGGCAACAGGCCCUUCCACUACGAACAAGCAAAAAGGUCAAGAGCUGUUCAGUAAUAGAGGCUUGAUAUAAAUGUAAGAAGACGUUGCCAUCUCCAGUGUCUCAAAAGAGUGAUGUAAUCUUAUGCUCAGC